rnacentral:rRNA from 1 species
AUGGCUCCACGGCGCCUUCUCCUCCUCCUGCUGCUGCUCCUCGCCGUUGCCGACGUCGCUGUAGAAGCAGAGGGGCAGACGUACUUCCCGCUCUAUCCUUACUGCUCGACCACGGACAACUACGCGGAGGACAGCCAGUACCGGUUCAACCUUCUCGCACUGUUCGGCGACCUCCCGUGGCGCGCCAUCAGCAACCGUGGCUUCUACGCCGGCACGGCCGGCGAAGCGCCCGACGAGGUGUUCGGCCUCAUGGGGUGCUACGCGGACAGCAGCUGGACCGCGUGCCACGACUGCCUCUACACGGCGGCCGCCGGGAUACAGCUAUCGUGCCGGUACAGCCGGGAGAUGAAGGGCGCCUACGACGCGUGCAUCCUCCGCUACUCCAACCGGGCCUUCGUCUCCGUCGCCGACCUCAGCAUCGCCUUCAACACGUCGCUGGACUCCCACGUCGCCGACCCGGCCAGCAUGAACGCCACCAGGUGGGACCUCAUCACCCGGCUCGCGUGGGAGGCCUCGCGUUCGCCUCUGCGGUUCGCCAACGGGAGCGUGCCGUGCAUGGUGAACGGGGCCUCGCAGAUGAUGCACGGGCUGGCGCAGUGCACCAGGGACCUCAACGCCAGCGAGUGCAGCAGGUGUCUUACGGAAUUCGUGGCAGCCCUCUCGGAUGUGCGCCCCGACAACAUCAAAGGUGGCGUGAAAGGCUACAGCUGCUACGUGGCGUACAGCAUCGGUGAGGACCUCAAAAUUACCAUUCCACCACCACUUGCACAGCCACCACCUGCCGAAGAAGCUACACCACUUUCUUCCCACCAAACCGGUACAAGGACACAACUGAUGGCUGGCGCGUAUGCUAGUUCAGUUGCCAUGGUUAUUAUCACCAUGAAUCUCUUGAUUUGGUUUUUUAUACGGCGGAGGCUAAACCGCAUGGCCAGAGAGGAAAAGGUAGAUGCUUUUGACAAUGAUCCAUUAGAAGACGACUUCGAGAAAAGGACUGGGCCAAAGCGGUUUCUCUACAGCGAUCUUGCCAUUGCCACCGACAAUUUCUCAGAUGAGAAGAAGCUGGGGGAAGGAGGAUUCGGAUCGGUGUACAAAGGAUUUUUGAAGGAGCUAAAAGUUGAGGUAGCUAUAAAAAAGGUGUCCAAGAGCUCCAAGCAAGGAAGGAAGGAGUACAUCUCCGAGGUGAAGAUCAUAAGCCAGUUGAGGCAUCGGAACCUCGUGCAACUCAUUGGCUGGUGCCAUUGUGGCGACGAGCUCUUGCUUGUCUACGAUAUUAUGCUCAACGGCAGCCUCGACACCCAUCUUUACAGUUCAAACACUAUAUUAUCGUGGCCACUCAGGCAUGAGAUAGUGCUCGAUUUAGGAUCUGCACUCGUGUAUCUACAUCGGGACUGGGAGCAAUGUGUUCUGCACCGGGACAUCAAGCCAAGCAACAUCAUGCUCGAUGCGUCAUUCCAUGCAAAGCUUGGUGAUUUUGGUUUGGCGCGGCUCGUGGACCACGGACGAGCACCAUACACGACAGGUCUUGCAGGAACACUGGGCUACAUGGACCCUGAGUGUAUGGUCACAGGAAAGACCAGCGCCGAGUCUGAUGUCUAUAGCUUUGGUGUGGUUCUCCUCGAGAUCGCUUGUGGAAAGCAGCCAGCGGUAGCUUGUGAAGAAACCAAGGACGUAAUUCACCUUGUACAAUGGGUAUGGGAUUCACUGGGAGGUGGAAGGAUCCUUGAUGCAGCAGAUGUGCGGCUCGGCACGGUGUUCCAUGACCGUGAGAUGGAGUGUGUGAUGGUAGUUGGGCUCUGGUGCGCCCACCCUGACCUCAACCUAAGGCCAUCCAUCAAGCAAGCUGUCAACGUGCUGCGGUUUGAGGCGCCACUGCCAAACCUACCCGCGAAAAUGCCGGUAGCAACAUUUAAGCCGACUUCUGAUUCUAUCAUUUCCGCUUCUCAACUCUCAGGUGGCAGAUAA